rnacentral:rRNA from 1 species
GGGUUGUGAGGUUAAGCGACUAAGCGUACACGGUGGAUGCCCUGGCAGUCAGAGGCGAUGAAGGACGUGCUAAUCUGCGAUAAGCGUCGGUGAGGUGAUAUGAACCGUUAUAACCGGCGAUUUCCGAAUGGGGAAACCCAGUGUGUUUCGACACACUAUCAUUAACUGAAUCCAUAGGUUAAUGAGGCGAACCGGGGGAACUGAAACAUCUAAGUACCCCGAGGAAAAGAAAUCAACCGAGAUUCCCCCAGUAGCGGCGAGCGAACGGGGAGGAGCCCAGAGCCUGAAUCAGUGUGUGUGUUAGUGGAAGCGUCUGGAAAGGCGCGCGAUACAGGGUGACAGCCCCGUACACAAAAAUGCACAUAUUGUGAGCUCGAUGAGUAGGGCGGGACACGUGGUAUCCUGUCUGAAUAUGGGGGGACCAUCCUCCAAGGCUAAAUACUCCUGACUGACCGAUAGUGAACCAGUACCGUGAGGGAAAGGCGAAAAGAACCUCGGCGAGGGGAGUGAAAAAGAACCUGAAACCGUGUACGUACAAGCAGUGGGAGCCUCUUAAUGGGGUGACUGCGUACCUUUUGUAUAAUGGGUCAGCGACUUAUAUUCUGUAGCAAGGUUAACCGAAUAGGGGAGCCGAAGGGAAACCGAGUCUUAACUGGGCGUUAAGUUGCAGGGUAUAGACCCGAAACCCGGUGAUCUAGCCAUGGGCAGGUUGAAGGUUGGGUAACACUAACUGGAGGACCGAACCGACUAAUGUUGAAAAAUUAGCGGAUGACUUGUGGCUGGGGGUGAAAGGCCAAUCAAACCGGGAGAUAGCUGGUUCUCCCCGAAAGCUAUUUAGGUAGCGCCUCGUGAAUUCAUCUCCGGGGGUAGAGCACUGUUUCGGCAAGGGGGUCAUCCCGACUUACCAACCCGAUGCAAACUGCGAAUACCGGAGAAUGUUAUCACGGGAGACACACGGCGGGUGCUAACGUCCGUCGUGAAGAGGGAAACAACCCAGACCGCCAGCUAAGGUCCCAAAGUCAUGGUUAAGUGGGAAACGAUGUGGGAAGGCCCAGACAGCCAGGAUGUUGGCUUAGAAGCAGCCAUCAUUUAAAGAAAGCGUAAUAGCUCACUGGUCGAGUCGGCCUGCGCGGAAGAUGUAACGGGGCUAAACCAUGCACCGAAGCUGCGGCAGCGACACUAUGUGUUGUUGGGUAGGGGAGCG